AUUUGGGUGGCCUCGAGUCGCAGUGUCCUGGGCCUCCGGAAGCAUUGCCCCUAGCCCAAGCAGUGGAACUCAAAUCUGUCCCUGGAAAAAAUGAGAAUGGUGACAUAAAAUGUGAGCAAUGGCUGGACGUGGUGGCUCAUGCCUGCAAUCCUAGCACUUUGGGAGGCUGAAGCAGUGGAUCGCUUGAGCUCAAGAGUUCGAAACCAGCCUGGGCAACAUGGUAAAACUCCAUCUCUACAAUAAAUACGAAAAUUGGGGCAACAGAGUGAGACUCUGUCUCAAGUAAAUACAUACAUACAUACAUACAUACAUACAUACAUACAUACAUACGUACAUACAUACAGUGUAGGCAACACGAUCAGGAGUCAAAGAAAAGUGGACAAUUUCAGUCAUUGGGAAAACAUUUGUUGAAUACUUAGUAUGUACCAAACACAGCACUGACUUCCAAGUGUGUGGUUUCCCUCCAGGGACACAUAAAACUCAAAUCCAGUCAGAUGUGCCAGGAUUGGUUUCUAUGUUUAAGUGUUCAGAGGGACUUUUUCAACCAAAGCAACUGGAAGACUUUUUGCAGCGUGUACCACUUACAUAGCUAAAGCACAUCCUAUAGUAGAUUUUUAACCUUAAACAGACAUUGUUUAACAGGUUUAAAGAAGAAGCAGGAAAACAGGAAAAUCCCAGCGGGGUGUGUGUGUGUGUGUGUGUGUGGUUUGGGAAAGGGGUGGUGGAAGGUGAUUAAAUGCUAACUUUCAUACUUUUUGGAAAUAAGUG
rnacentral:lncRNA from 1 species